CCUACGGGUGGCAGCAGUCGAGAAUCAUUCACAAUGGGGGAAACCCUGAUGGUGCGACGCCGCGUGGGGGAAUGAAGGUCUUCGGAUUGUAAACCCCUGUCAUGUGGGAGCAAAUUAAAAAGAUAGUACCACAAGAGGAAGAGACGGCUAACUCUGUGCCAGCAGCCGCGGUAAUACAGAGGUCUCAAGCGUUGUUCGGAAUCACUGGGCGUAAAGUGUGCGUAGGCUGUUUCGUAAGUCGUGUGUGAAAGGCGCGGGCUCAACCCGCGGACGGCACAUGAUACUGCGAGACUAGAGUAAUGGAGGGGGAACCGGAAUGCUCGGUGUAGCAGUGAAAUGCGUAGAUAUCGAGAGGAACACUCGUGGCGAAGGCGGGUUCCUGGACAUUAACUGACGCUGAGGCACGAAGGCCAGGGGAGCGAAAGGGAUUAGAUACCCCAGUAGUC
rnacentral:rRNA from 1 species